GAGGAAGCCCGGUGCGACUCCGGCGCGGUCCCGCCACUGUGAGCCCGUCCCCCAGGGGACGGGUGAGCCAGGAACUC
rnacentral:ncRNA from 2 species